GUACACGCUGUGACUAGCAUAUCAAUAAGCGGAGGAAAAGAAACUAACAAGGAUUCCCUUAGUAACGGCGAGUGAAGCGGGAAGAGCUCAAAUUUGAAAUCUUGAAAGGUCACCUUUCACGAAUUGUAGUUUAAAGAAGUGUUUUCUGUUGAAGUUUUGGUAAAAGUUCUUUGGAAUAGGACAUCAUAGAGGGUGAGAAUCCCGUAUUGGACCAUUAUUUUCAGCUGUGUGAUACACUUUCAAAGAGUCGGAUUGUUUGGGAAUGCAGUCCAAAAUGGGUGGUAAAUUUCAUCUAAAGCUAAAUAUUGGCGAGAGACCGAUAGCGAACAAGUACCGUGAGGGAAAGAUGAAAAGAACUUUGAAAAGAGAGUUAAACAGUACGUGAAAUUGUCAAAAGGGAAGCGUUUGACACCAGUGUUGUUUUUCCGAAAAUCAAUUACGAAUGUUUUGUUUUUGAGAAGUUAUGACUUCAUCGGCUUGCUUCUCUCUUUACGAAACUUUCUUAAUGCACUUUUCGGUUAACAAGUCAACAUCAAUUUCUUUUGUUGUAAAAGGGUAUGAGGAAGGUGGCUUUCUUUUCGGAGAAAGUGUUUAUAGCCUUGUACCUCUGCAAUCGGAGAGAUUGAGGUCUGCAGCGUAGAUCCUUCGGGGUUAGAUACAUUUGUGCUAAGUUAUAGCUUUUCAUAGACAACUUGUUGACUAUGUUAAGUCUUGUAGCUUACUCGCUUAUGCUAUUUUACCUACGCUUAGGAUGUUGAAGAUAUGCGCGACACGACCUCUAUACAUGACUCUGCGCAUAUCAAUAAGCGGAGGAAAAGUAAUGCUACCUACGCUUAGGAUGUUGAAGAUAUGCGCGACACG
rnacentral:rRNA from 1 species